rnacentral:rRNA from 1 species
GCAGCAGUAGGGAUCUUCCGCAUGGACGAAAGUCUGACGGAGCAACGCCGCGUGAGUGAUGAAGGUUUUCGGAUCGUAAAACUCUGUUAUUAGGGAAGAACAAAUGUGUAAGUAACUGUGCACAUCUUGACGGUACCUAAUCAGAAAGCCACGGCUAACUACGUGCCAGCAGCCGCGGUAAUACGUAGGUGGCAAGCGUUAUCCGGAAUUAUUGGGCGUAAAGCGCGCGUAGGCGGUUUCUUAAGUCUGAUGUGAAAGCCCACGGCUCAACCGUGGAGGGUCAUUGGAAACUGGGAAACUUGAGUACAGAAGAGGAAAGUGGAAUUCCAUGUGUAGCGGUGAAAUGCGCAGAGAUAUGGAGGAACACCAGUGGCGAAGGCGACUUUCUGGUCUGUAACUGACGCUGAUGUGCGAAAGCGUGGGGAUCAAACAGGAUUAGAUACCCUGGUAGUCCACGCCGUAAACGAUGAGUGCUAAGUGUUAGGGGGUUUCCGCCCCUUAGUGCUGCAGCUAACGCAUUAAGCACUCCGCCUGGGGAGUACGACCGCAAGGUUGAAACUCAAAGGAAUUGACGGGGCCCC